rnacentral:rRNA from 1 species
CACCUCUAGCAUUAUCAGUAUUAGAGGCAAUGCCUGCCCAGUGACAUUAGUUAAACGGCCGCGGUAUCCUGACCGUGCAAAGGUAGCAUAAUCAUUUGUUCCUUAAUUAGGGACUUGUAUGAAUGGCCCCACGAGGGUUUGACUGUCUCUUACUUUUAAUCAGUGAAAUUGACCUUCCCGUGAAGAGGCGGGAAUACAUAAAUAAGACGAGAAGACCCUAUGGAGCUUAAAUUAAUUUGUUCAAUCAAAAUUCAAUUUUUACCCAACAGGAAUAAUAACAUUUUAACUGAACAACAAAUUUUGGUUGGGGUGACCUCGGAGUACAAAAGAACCUCCGAGCGAUUUAACUAAGACAUACUAGUCAAGGUCAUAUAACUCAUUGAUCCAAUCAUAUUGAUCAACGGAACAAGUUACCCUAGGGAUAACAGCGCAAUCCUAUUUGAGAGUUCAUAUCGACAAUAGGGUUUACGACCUCGAUGUUGGAUCAGGACACCCAAAUGGUGCAGCAGCUAUUAAAGGUUCGUUUGUUCAACG